GGGCCGGUAGAUCAGUGGAAGAUCGCCUGCUUUGCAAGCAGGAAGUCCUGGGUUCAAAUCCCAGCCGGUCCA
rnacentral:tRNA from 1 species